rnacentral:rRNA from 1 species
CCUACGGAAGGCUGCAGUGGGGAAUAUUGGACAAUGGGGGGAACCCUGAUCCAGCCAUGCCGCGUGUGUGAAGAAGGCCCUCGGGUUGUAAAGCACUUUCAGUGAGGAAGAACGCCUGGUGGUUAAUACCCAUCAGGAAAGACAUCACUCACAGAAGAAGCACCGGCUAACUCCGUGCCAGCAGCCGCGGUAAUACGGAGGGUGCGAGCGUUAAUCGGAAUUACUGGGCGUAAAGCGCGCGUAGGUGGCUUGAUAAGCCGGUUGUGAAAGCCCCGGGCUCAACCUGGGAACGGCAUCCGGAACUGUCAAGCUAGAGUGCAGGAGAGGAAGGUAGAAUUCCCGGUGUAGCGGUGAAAUGCGUAGAGAUCGGGAGGAAUACCAGUGGCGAAGGCGGCCUUCUGGACUGACACUGACACUGAGGUGCGAAAGCGUGGGUAGCAAACAGGAUUAGAUACCCGGGUAGUC